GAUGAACGCUGGCGGCGUGCCUAAUACAUGCAAGUCGAGCGAACAGACGAGGAGCUUGCUCCUCUGACGUUAGCGGCGGACGGGUGAGUAACACGUGGAUAACCUACCUAUAAGACUGGGAUAACUUCGGGAAACCGGAGCUAAUACCGGAUAAUAUAUUGAACCGCAUGGUUCAAUAGUGAAAGACGGUUUUGCUGUCACUUAUAGAUGGAUCCGCGCCGCAUUAGCUAGUUGGUACGGUAACGGCUUACCAAGGCAACGAUGCGUAGCCGACCUGAUGGGGUGAUCGGCCACACUGGAACUGAGACACGGUCCAGACUCCUACGGGAGGCAGCAGUAGGGAAUCUUCCGCAAUGGGCGAAAGCAUGACGGAGCAACGCCGCGUGAGUGAUGAAGGUCUUCGGAUCGUAAAACUCUGUUAUUAGUGAAGAACAAAUGUGUAAGUAACUAUGCACGUCUUGACGGUACCUAAUCAGAAAGCCACGGCUAACUACGUG
rnacentral:rRNA from 1 species